rnacentral:rRNA from 1 species
UGCAUGAAGUCGGAAUUGCUAGUAAUCGCGGAUCAGCAUGCCGCGGUGAAUACGUUCUCGGGCCUUGUACACACCGCCCGUCACACCAUGGGAGUCGGUAACACCCGAAGUCUGUAGCCUGACGCAAGAGGGCGCAGCCGAAGGUGGGAUUGAUGACUGGGGUGAAGUCGUAACAAGGUACC